rnacentral:rRNA from 1 species
UACGUAGGGGGCAAGCGUUGUCCGGAUUUACUGGGCGUAAAGAGCGCGUAGGCGGCCAAGCAGGUCCGUUGUGAAAACUGGAGGCUUAACCUCCAGACGUCGACGGAAACUGUAUGGCUAGAGUCCGGAAGAGGAGAGUGGAAUUCCUGGUGUAGCGGUGAAAUGCGCAGAUAUCAGGAAGAACACCAAUGGCGAAGGCAGCUCUCUGGGACGGUACUGACGCUGAGACGCGAAAGCGUGGGGAGCGAACAGG